rnacentral:rRNA from 1 species
UUGAACGCUGGCGGCAGGCCUAACACAUGCAAGUCGAGCGGAUGAAGGGAGCUUGCUCCUGGAUUCAGCGGCGGACGGGUGAGUAAUGCCUAGGAAUCUGCCUGGUAGUGGGGGAUAACGUCCGGAAACGGGCGCUAAUACCGCAUACGUCCUGAGGGAGAAAGUGGGGGAUCUUCGGACCUCACGCUAUCAGAUGAGCCUAGGUCGGAUUAGCUAGUUGGUGGGGUAAAGGCCUACCAAGGCGACGAUCCGUAACUGGUCUGAGAGGAUGAUCAGUCACACUGGAACUGAGACACGGUCCAGACUCCUACGAGAGGCAGCAGUGGGGAAUAUUGGACAAUGGGCGAAAGCCUGAUCCAGCCAUGCCGCGUGUGUGAAGAAGGUCUUCGGAUUGUAAAGCACUUUAAGUUGGGAGGAAGGGCAGUAAGUUAAUACCUUGCUGUUUUGACGUUACCAACAGAAUAAGCACCGGCUAACUUCGUG